CCUACGGGAGGCAGCAGUAGGGAAUCUUCCACAAUGGGCGAAAGCCUGAUGGAGCAACGCCGCGUGGGUGAAGAAGGUCUUCGGAUCGUAAAACCCUGUUGUUAGAGAAGAAAGUGCGUGAGAGUAACUGUUCACGUUUCGACGGUAUCUAACCAGAAAGCCACGGCUAACUACGUGCCAGCAGCCGCGGUAAUACGUAGGUGGCAAGCGUUAUCCGGUUUUAUUGGGCGUAAAGGGAACGCAGGCGGUCUUUUAAGUCUGAUGUGAAAGCGUUCGGCUUAACCGGAGUAGUGCAUUGGAAACUGGGAGACUUGAGUGCAGAAGAGGAGAGUGGAACUCCAUGUGUAGCGGUGAAAUGCGUAGAUAUAUGGAAGAACACCAGUGGCGAAGGCGGCUCUCUGGUCUGUAACUGACGCUGAGGUUCGAAAGCGUGGGUAGCAAACAGGAUUAGAUACCCGAGUAGUC
rnacentral:rRNA from 1 species